CCUACGGGUGGCUGCAGUGGGGAAUAUUGCACAAUGGGGGAAACCCUGAUGCAGCGACGCCGCGUGAGUGAAGAAGUAUUUCGGUACGUAAAGCUCUAUCAGCAGGGAAGAAAAACCGGCCUUAGGGCCGCCAGACGGUACCUGACUAAGAAGCCCCGGCUAACUACGUGCCAGCAGCCGCGGUAAUACGUAGGGGGCAAGCGUUAACCGGAUUUACGGGGUGUAAAGGGUGCGUAGACGGCAGAGCAAGUCUGGAGUGAAAUGCCAGGGCCCAACCCCGGAACUGCUUUGGAAACUGUGCAGCUGGAGUGCAGGAGAGGUAAGCAGAAUUCCAUGUGUAGCGGUGAAAUGCGUAGAUAUUAGGAGGAACACCAGUGGCGAAGGCGGCUUACUGGACUGUAACUGACGUUGAGGCUCGAAAGCGUGGGGAGCAAACAGGAUUAGAUACCCGAGUAGUC
rnacentral:rRNA from 1 species